UACGGGAGUGGCAAGCGUUAUCCGGAAUUAUUGGGCGUAAAGCGUCCGCAGGCGGUCUUGUAAGUCUGUUGUUAAAGCGUGGAGCUUAACUCCAUUUCAGCAAUGGAAACUGUGAGACUAGAGUGUGGUAGGGGCAGAGGGAAUUCCCGGUGUAGCGGUGAAAUGCGUAGAUAUCGGGAAGAACACCAGUGGCGAAGGCGCUCUGCUGGGCCAUAACUGACGCUCAUGGACGAAAGCCAGGGGAGCGAAAGGGAUUAGAUACCCCUGUAGUCCUGGCCGUAAACGAUGAACACUAGGUGUCGGGGGAAUCGACCCCCUCGGUGUCGUAGCCAACGCGUUAAGUGUUCCGCCUGGGGAGUACGCACGCAAGUGUGAAACUCAAAGGAAUUGACGGGGGCCCGCACAAGCGGUGGAGUAUGUGGUUUAAUUCGAUGCAACGCGAAGAACCUUACCAGGGUUUGACAUCCUGCGAAUCUUUUGGAAACAGAAGAGUGCCUUCGGGAACGCAGUGACAGGUGGUGCAUGGCUGUCGUCAGCUCGUGUCGUGAGAUGUUGGGUUAAGUCCCGCAACGAGCGCAACCCACGUCGUUAGUUGCCAGCAUUUAGUUGGGCACUCUAGCGAGACCGCCGGUGAUAAACCGGAGGAAGGUGUGGAUGACGUCAAGUCAUCAUGCCCCUUACAUCCUGGGCUACACACGUACUACAAUGCUACGGACAAAGGGCAGCAAACUCGCGAGAGCUAGCAAAUCCCAUAAACCGUGGCUCAGUUCAGAUCGUAGGCUGCAACUCGCCUACGUGAAGGAGGAAUCGCUAGUAAUCGCAGGUCAGCAUACUGCGGUGAAUACGUUCCCGGGCCU
rnacentral:rRNA from 1 species